rnacentral:rRNA from 1 species
GGGUAACGGCCCACCAAACCGACGAUGGAUAGGGGUUCUGAGAGGAAGGUCCCCCACAUUGGUACUGAGACACGGACCAAACUCCUACGGGAGGCAGCAGUGAGGAAUAUUGGUCAAUGGGCGUAAGCCUGAACCAGCCAAGUCGCGUGAGGGAUGAAGGUUCUAUGGAUCGUAAACCUCUUUUAUAAGGGAAUAAAGUGCGGGACGUGUCCCGUUUUGUAUGUACCUUAUGAAUAAGGAUCGGCUAACUCCGUGCCAGCAGCCGCGGUAAUACGGAGGAUCCGAGCGUUAUCCGGAUUUAUUGGGUUUAAAGGGUGCGUAGGCGGCCUUUUAAGUCAGCGGUGAAAGUCUGUGGCUCAACCAUAGAAUUGCCGUUGAAACUGGGGGGCUUGAGUAUGUUUGAGGCAGGCGGAAUGCGUGGUGUAGCGGUGAAAUGCUUAGAUAUCACGCAGAACCCCGAUUGCGAAGGCAGCCUGCCAAGCCAUGACUGACGCUGAUGCACGAAAGCGUGGGGAUCAAACAGGAUUAGAUACCCUGGUAGUCCACGCAGUAAACGAUGAUCACUAGCUGUUUGCGAUACACUGUAAGCGGCACAGCGAAAGCGUUAAGUGAUCCACCUGGGGAGUACGCCGGCAACGGUGAAACUCAAAGGAAUUGACGGGGGCCCGCACAAGCGGAGGAACAUGUGGUUUAAUUCGAUGAUACGCGAGGAACCUUACCCGGGUUUGAACGCAUUYGGACCGAGGUGGAAACACCUUUUCUAGCAAUAGCCGUUUGCGAGGUGCUGCAUGGUUGUCGUCAGCUCGUGCCGUGAGGUGUCGGCUUAAGUGCCAUAACGAGCGCAACCCUUGCCACUAGUUACUAACAGGUAAAGCUGAGGACUCUGGUGGGACUGCCAGCGUAAGCUGCGAGGAAGGCGGGGAUGACGUCAAAUCAGCACGGCCCUUACAUCCGGGGCGACACACGUGUUACAAUGGCGUGGACAAAGGGAUGCCACCUGGCGACAGGGAGCGAAUCCCCAAACCACGUCUCAGUUCGGAUCGGAGUCUGCAAC